CCAUAUGACUCGGCGGAUGGACUUCACCCAGUCUUCCAUGUCAUUCUGGGUGCUCGCCAUGAGGAGGUAGCUUUCAUGAUUUGCUGUCAUCCGAUCUCGAUCGCCUCCUUACAAACAUACACUUCAGUGGACAAUGACAAAUGCAGGCUGGGAGGCAGCAGCUGCUCUGUUCUGAGCCUCUUAAAGCACAUUCGAGCCAGGCUUACGUCCUAGUCUCUGUGCUGCCUGCAGUUCCUCCCAU